GAUAAAAUUCGUGUGCUUUUCGAGUCUGCCAUGUUUUGUCCUAUUUGUCGCGCUUGAUCAACGCGUUCGCGUUUACUGUUCAAAACUGUUAUUUUCUGAAUGUAUUACGGGCUGUGUUUUGUUUACAAAUAGUGUAGUUAUUGGUGUUGUAAUUAUACUGCUAAUACUUUUGAUUAGGCAAUCACUUUGAUACUUGAGAAUGCGACAGUGAAGUUCGUAUUUCAUAAAAUUUAUAUUCGUUAGCUGGCCAUCAACUGUCUGCAUUCGGAGGCAUUCCGUCGUAAUUUUUGAAAUAUUCUAAUCUGUAAAUGUGAUUUCAUAAUAUUUUGUCGGUCCCGUCUAUGACGCAACCCACGUGCACAUAUUAUAGCGAGCAUCUCAUGCACAUUUGUUAUUAUUUUGUUCGCGAGUUCGAUUCGGAGCAGUGAGGAUCGGAUCGGCGAAGGGAAACCGCGUCGCGCGUCUUGCUCACUCCUAUCGCGUUCGGUCGAAUUCUUUAAUUUGUGGGUAAUAUUGGACGGUGAUUUCUAAUCGGGUGUGAAUUAAUUAGUGCGGGAUAGUGUUGUUGGUCGAUGUGAUUGGGUGCAGCGCACAUAGCGCACACGUGACACGGGACGAGUGUUUGGGUGUCAGUCGGUUGCGGCUCGCGGGCGCCGCUACAGUCCGCCUGCAGUGCGGAGCGCGCGACGGGCGUUAGAGGUGAAUCACCGCUCGGUGCCGUUUUGAUCGUGCUUGUUUACCCGCGUGUGCAUAAGUGCGUGGAGCGGAAGUGCAAGGCAUGUGCGCCGCGCGUCGGCGCCGAUGACACCGCCGUCCGGGGCGACGGCGUUUUGAGCGCGAGUGUGUGAUAGCUAUGUUCCUUGGGUUAUGAGUGUGUGACAAAGUUGUAGUGCGCUGAGGACACUGGAGCCCCUAGACGGAGUUGGGCCCGCCGGGGCGGCCCUGGUGCUUCUCGGGGCUCCUCACGAAGGCAAAAUGGCUGCGUGGAACCGCCACCACCAUUUCAACAUGCUCAUGGAUGAGAAUGCCAAAAAUAAGUUGGGCGUGGUUGGCGGCGGCAUGCCGGAGGCCGCCGGCGGCGAGCGGCGCCACGUGCCGUUGUACGGGAGACUGGUGGCCGAAGACCAGCUGGCGUCCAUGUCCGCGCCCUCAGACAUUCAGGUGAGCGCCACUGUGCGCGACCCCCGAGCUUUCUGCUGCUACCAUACCCCCGCCCAGGCUAUGCAGGCCCGAAUACCACAUCACUUUCGAGACCCCUCGACAGCACCUCUAAGAAAACUCAGCGUAGACCUCAUCAAAACCUACAAACACAUAAACGAGGUAUAUUACGCGAAGAAAAAGCGGAGAGCGCAACAGUACCUGGGCGAGGAUGGGUCGCACAAAAAAGAGCGGAAGUUAUAUAACGACGGCUAUGAUGAUGAUAACCAUGAUUACAUCAUCAAACAGGGCGAGAAGUUCCUCGACCGAUAUGAGAUCUCCUCGCCGAUUGGGAAGGGAUCUUUUGGACAGGUUGUGAAAGCGUAUGACCACGAGGAGCAGUGUCAAGUAGCGAUAAAAAUAAUUAAGAAUAAGAAACCCUUCCUAAACCAGGCACAAAUAGAAGUCAAGUUACUAAAAAUGAUGAACAGAGCGGAUCCUGAAAAUAAGUAUUAUAUAGUGAAACUGAAAUGUCACUUUAUGUGGCGGAACCACCUGUGCCUAGUGUUCGAGCUGUUGUCAUACAACUUGUACGACCUGCUACGCAACACCAACUUCAGAGGCGUCUCGCUCAACUUAACGCGCAAGUUUGCGCAGCAGUUGUGCACAGCGUUACUGUUCCUUAGUCAACCUGAACUAAAUAUAAUUCACUGUGAUCUUAAACCCGAGAAUAUACUACUAUGCAACCCGAAGAGGUCAGCCAUUAAAAUUGUGGACUUCGGGAGCUCAUGUCAACUAGGUCAAAGGAUAUACCAAUACAUUCAGUCGAGGUUUUACCGGUCGCCGGAGGUUCUACUGGGCGUCCCGUACGACCUCGCGAUAGACAUGUGGUCGCUGGGUUGCAUACUCGUCGAGAUGCAUACGGGCGAGCCCCUGUUCAGCGGCGCCAAUGAGGUCGACCAGAUGAACAAAAUCGUCGAGGUUCUCGGCAUGCCCCCUGAUCAUUUGUUAGAUCAGGCACACAAAACAAGAAAGUUCUUCGACAAAUUACCAGCGUCAGAAGGCGGUGGUUAUGUAUUAAAGAAAGUAAAUGGAAAGGAUGGAAGCGGUUACAGGAAGUACCGGUUGCCGGGCACGCGGCGGCUACACGACAUCCUGGGCGUGGAGGGCGGCGGGCCGGCCGCGCGGCGCCGCGGGGAGCCCGGACAUUCUGUCUCCGAUUAUCUCAAGUUUAAGGACCUAAUCCUCCGCAUGUUGGAGUACGACCCCAAGCAGCGCGUGACGCCGUACUACGCGCUACAACACAAUUUCUUCAAGAGGACCGCGGACGAGUCCACGAACACACAGCAAGCGCAAUCGCAUCACCAACACGAUGGCCCGUCGGACUCGCGAUGACUAGAGCGGUCCGGCGGCCCCGGCCCGCGACACUAGCGCCGCCACACUAGUGCCUAUCGAUAUCGUGCCAGUGGGCGCGCGAGUGUGGGGCGCGGGCGCGGGCGCGGGCGGCGCGGCGGAGCGCAUGGAGGUGGAGGCGGCGCGGCGCUCGGACGAGCUGCUGGCGCCCGUGUGUCCGCUGCCGCACAGCCCCGUCGCCAUCCACUA
rnacentral:misc_RNA from 1 species